rnacentral:rRNA from 1 species
UACGAAGGGUCCAAGCGUUGUUCGGAAUCAUUGGGCGUAAAGCGCGUGUAGGCGGUCCGGUAAGUCCGCUGUGAAAGUCGGGGGCUCAACCCUCGAAUGCCGGUGGAUACUGUCGGGCUAGAGUGCGGAAGAGGCGAGUGGAAUUCCUGGUGUAGCGGUGAAAUGCGCAGAUAUCAGGAGGAACACCAAUUGCGAAGGCAGCUCGCUGGGACGUCACUGACGCUGAGACGCGAAAGCGUGGGGAGCAAACAGG